rnacentral:rRNA from 1 species
AUUAUUUUAAGAUUAUUUUUUAUUGUUGAAAAAAUUAAAAAUAAAUUGUUUUUAACAAAAAUUAAAAUUUAUAAUAUUUCAUUUUUUGGUUUUUUGUUUUAAAUUAAAAUAAUAAAUAUGGGGGAAAAAAAAAUUUUGUUAUAAAUUAUAUUAGUUUAUUUUAAUUAAAAAUAUUUUUUAUUAAAUUUGUUUUUUUUAUUUUUUUAUAAAAAAUAUUAAUUUAAUUAUUAUUAUUGAGUUUAAUUUAGUUAUUUUUAAAAAAAUUUUGUAUAAAAUAAAUUUGAUAAUAAAUGUUUUUUAAAUUCUUUGGGGGUUUAGUUUAUGAUUUUUUGUUUCUGCUCAUUGUUAAAUAAAAGCACUUUUAGCGUGAUUGGCCAAAAGGUAA